rnacentral:rRNA from 1 species
AACGAACGCUGGCGGCAUGCCUAACACAUGCAAGUCGAACGAGACCUUCGGGUCUAGUGGCGCACGGGUGCGUAACGCGUGGGAACCUGCCCCUAGGUUCGGAAUAACUCCCCGAAAGGGGUGCUAAUACCGGAUAAUGUCUUCGGACCAAAGAUUUAUCGCCUUUGGAUGGGCCUGCGUUGGUUUAGCUAGUUGCUAGGGUAAAAGCCUACCAAGGCGACGAUCCCUAGCUGGUCUGAGAGGAUGAUCAGCCACACUGGGACUGAGACACGGCCCAGACUCCUACGGGAGGCAGCAGUGGGGAAUAUUGGACAAUGGGCGAAAGCCUGAUCCAGCAAUGCCGCGUGAGUGAUGAAGGCCUGAGGGUUGUAAAGCUCUUUUACCCGGGAUGAUAAUGACGGUACCGGGAGAAUAAGCACCGGCUAACUCCGUG